UAAUCAAAAUCUAGCAAUAAAAUGUUUCCUGUGAAAUGUGGAAUAUUUUACAAGCGUCUGGAUGAAUGCCUGACUUUUUAAUUGCCACUUAAGAUUAAAAGGGGUCAGUCGUGAUUAUAUAAGUAAAGCACAAAUGUACAGAACUACAGUUUAUUCUACACUCUCAUAUACAUACUAAGAAAAUAUGUUAUAUAGAAACAAGUUGUAUAUACCAGCUUAUAAGACAAUAUCACAGUGUCACUAGGCAUUUGACCUUUUCAUGCUAUUUAACAAAGUAGGUAGGUAUCAUUGAAGAGAAAUUGUAAAAAUUGAAUAAAUUAAGCCUAUACAAAAUUACAAGUUUUGGUGCCUGGCAUUUUAUCUUAUGAAAAGGAUCACAUUUAAUUGUCAUCUCUCAGUUUAGUGUGUUUCCAAUACAAUACAAUACAAUACAAUACAAUACAAAUCUGUACAAAGAUCCUUUGGUGAAAUGUGCUAAUUAAUUUUUUAUUAACGUCUCAUUAAUGUACAAUAUCCGGUAUAAAAUGACAGUGUGUGUUUGAGUGAAGUAAAAAUACUACAAUUAUUAAAAUAGCCUAAAACAUACCAGAGGAGGACGUGUGCAAGCCAGGGGAAAUCACACCUUCACGCAUGUUAUAUCAGAUCGGAGAUAUUGAAACCUGGUGACCGGGUGCUGUGAAUUUACUGAUGAUGGAGAAACCAUAUUAUGACACAUAAUUUAAUACCAAUUAAGAUAUUCAGCAUUUGACAUUUAUUAAUUAAUCAAUGGACCAACUGCAUGUUUUAUCAAAGAGCUAUAAAAAUAAAUAUAUGUAUUUUAUAGUUCUUUGGUUUUACCAAACCCGAAAGGCAAAUUACUGAUAUUGGCAUACAGACACUAAAUAGAAAAAUGGCGCGAAAAAAAUGGCGGAUACAAAUAGUCCUCAGUUUUUUUGCUCUGUAGAGCUAUUUUCCUUAUUUUCUUUGCAAUCUUUUUUUUUGCUACAAUCACACGACAGAUCUAUGCUUGACAUGUAGGUAGCAUUUUCAUAAUGAAAUAACAACAUUACAAAUUUUUUCAUGGAAACGUAGAUCAUACACCACCAGUAUAAUUUGGGGUCUCAUUUUUAGCUGAUUUUGCAGUUUGUGUGUUUGACUGAAAUUAUUUUUCUUGCAUCAAACAUGACCCCCACUUUUCUUUUGAUUUUUAAUUAGUACUGACAAUAUUCUUCAAGAAAAUGUAGGUUACAGAAAUUUAAAAUGGGUCCUGAUGUGUGCCACGGUCAUUGGAAUUAGGUCAAUUUUAUAUAGAAUAAAGAACAACAACUAUUUAGUGUGUUAUAACCUAUUUAAAGUUACAUUUGUUAUUUGCGCUGCGCGUUUGGUAAAAGACAUGAAUACAGGUCUUUACUCCUCUGGGACAAUACACCCUGGGACUUUACACCUUCCAAACCUGAGACAUUACUCCUCCAAAAGGGAGGUGUAAAGUCCAAGACUGUUGCUACACGUCAUCUUGCCUUGUCGUGUGACAACUGUGGAAAAUGGCAGCAUAUCAAAUGCGGAAACUCUGGUCAAUUACCAACCUCACUGGGUCAAGUUCUAUAACUCUUAACAUGUAUUUUGAGCACUUAGAAAAUCCAUUAGUUGACUUACGUAAGGAAUUAGUUGACAAAAAUCUGAUUAAUCACCUUAAGUCAACAAAGUCACAAUAGAAUUAAAUUACUUUGUAGGGGUCUCACGUAAAGAAUACAAGAAAAUUGUUGAGGAGGACAGAGACAUCGACUUUCUCUGCGAUCCGUGUAAGUCUGCGCCUCACAACCAUGAAGCUGAAGACAUGUCUCGUGAGGAAGAGGUCAUGGACGUUCAGUUCAGCGACACCGAGGGUGAUCCACUCAAUGAGUCCGUCAACGUGCAUGACAUGCUUUUGAGCCAUGAGAAUGAAAUGAUAAAUUAUGAAAAUUAUUAAAAAAAGUGAUAUAUCUUUGAAUUUGUUCUUUUCCUUCUUUAAGUUGUUUCCAUGUGUACUUUAAUAAAACAAUAUAGGCAUGUGAUAUGUGGGAAUUAACUAAUUGCUAGACAUAAUAGCAUCUCUGGAAUGUGACAUUACUAUCAAACAGUGACACUUGCUUGAAUUGGAAUUUCACAGGAAUGUGAAAGAUAAUAUUAACAUGUAAUUUACGACAAUAUAUUUUUUUAGAAUUAAUUCUUUUAUUUUGGACAAUAUAUAUCAUAAAGCAAUGAGAUCAGUUUUUAAACAGACAAAUGUUGUCUCAAAUAUAUGUAUAUUAUCUUUUAAAUUAAAUAACUUCAUAAUACAUUAAAAAAUAUUUUAAUAUUGUUUUAUAAAAUGUAAUGACUGAUACAAAAUGCAUUGACAAACACCUUUUAAUUAUCAUUUUUAAUAUAUAAUCUUUCUACCUUCACAAUAAUUGACAAAUAAUCCUAAAUUGGUCAAUUACAAUUCACAUUAAGUUUGAAACAGAGUUAUAAUAAUUUUAAUACUGUAAUAAUUAAAAAAAUGUUUAAAAAUGAGUUAUUAAUUAAAAUAUAAUAAUUAUAAAUAAAUAUGUUAAAAAAUGAGUUAUUAAUCAGAAAGCUGAAUAAUACAUAAAUCUGAAAAAAGCAAAUUUCAACAAGACAGAAAUUUAUUUUUGAACCAGCAUCCAUUCUUAAAACAUUUACAAAAGAAUUAAAAUCUAUUUGGAAAAUAUCAGUCAGAUUUGGCUAAAUAUUUUGUGUUGAGAGCCUACAAAAAUACCCAAUUAACUUUUAUUUCCCAAACAAUUUCAAUCUAUUUCA